GUGAGGAAUAUUGGUCAAUGGGCGGGAGCCUGAACCAGCCAAGUCGCGUGAAGGAAGAAGGAUCUAUGGUUCGUAAACUUCUUUUGCAGGGGAAUAAAGUGCAGGACGUGUCCUGUUUUGUAUGUACCCUGAGAAUAAGGAGCGGCUAACUCCGUGCCAGCAGCAGCGGUAAUACGGAGGAUCCGAGCGUUAUCCGGAUUUAUUGGGUUUAAAGGGUGCGUAGGUGGUUUGAUAAGUCAGCGGUGAAAGUUUGCAGCUUAACUGUAAAAAUGCCGAUGAAACUGUCGGACUUGAGUGUAAAUGAGGUAGGCGGAAUGCGUAGUGUAGCGGUGAAAUGCAUAGAUAUCACGCAGAACUCCGAUUGCGAAGGCAGCUUACUAAGCUACAACUGACACUGAAGCACGAAAGCGUGGGGAUCAAACAGGAUUAGAAACCCGGGUAGUCC
rnacentral:rRNA from 1 species